GUAACAGUCUUCAACAAUUGCAGAUAACAAACUCACAGAUUCUCACCUCACGCUCGAUGAUACCGAACGCAUCAGCAAAGAGCUGGUCGUCCUCCAGGACACUUACAAGACUGCAGUGGAAACCAGGAAGGAUGCCAGGAAGCAGCUGGACAGUGAGAUGAGCCGUCAGACGCAAACCAACUGGGAGCUUGAACACCAGACGAAACGAAGCAAUGACUAUAAAAGUCAGAUUGAAAAAGUUACAAAGGAAAUUGAAACCAUGAAAACACGCUUAUCAAUGCUUAGCGAUGGCUGCAAACACUGUCCUGCAGGAUGGAUUUUAAUGAACCCUGUAUGUUACUACUUCCCCUUGAAAUCAAAUUAAUUCAAAACAUGGAAGGAAUCCAGAGAUUUCUGUCAGCUGCAGGGAGGAGAUCUUAUAAUCAUAGACAGCCAAGAUGAAGAGAACUCAACAGUUAAUUAUUUGAUAAAUCAUCAAGCUGCCCCGAGACAAACUCGUGACCUGGUCUGGGAGUCUCACCUUCCUCACCGUGUGAGACCUUGGAUGCCUCACAGAGACCCUGAGUUUCUAGAUUGGAUAAGCAGAAGAAUAAAUCAUCAAGAUACGCCUCAUCCCCCAAUGGGCUUCUGGAUCGGACUGAGAGACGUCCAUGAGGAAGGGACUUGGAAAUGGUGGGAUGGAACAUUACUUGCUGAAGGUGUUUGAAAACUUUAUCGUCACCGCCGGCGUGCUUUGUACCUCAGGCUCAUCAGAGACAAUCGUAUCCAGUGGUGUGGCAGCCAUGGGUUGAGCCAGCCCUGCAAACCCUGUGGAUGGACGAUGCAGUGGACAGUGGGAGGAAGCAUCCUAAAGCUCUCUUUGCAGACCAGCCUGUGUGAUUCUCCACUCGCCGACCAGAAAAGACAAACGGCAGGUCUAAGUUGCAGCACCUCAUCCAUCCAUGUCUGAUCUUGCAUCGGCAGAUUCAGCAACACAGCCAGAGACUUCCUGUAAUCUAUUACAGUUGUUAAAAAAACGGUCCAGGAACAGGUCACUCAGGUUAA